AUCGCGGCUACACAUGCAAGUCGAGGGGCAGGGAAAAUGGUAGCUUGCUAUCAUUAGACGGCGACCGGCGGACGGGUGCGUAACGCGUAUGCAACCUGCCUUGAACUGGAGGAUAAUCCGAAGAAAUUUGGUCUAAUAUUCCAUAAUACUAAUUGCGGCAUCGCAGAUAGUUGAAAGCUCCGGCGGUUCAAGAUGGGCAUGCGUUGUAUUAGCUAGUUGGAGAGGUAACGGCUCACCAAGGCUACGAUACAUAGGGGGACUGAGAGGUUAACCCCCCACACUGGUACUGAGACACGGACCAGACUCCUACGGGAGGCAGCAGUGAGGAAUAUUGGUCAAUGGGCGCAAGCCUGAACCAGCCAUGCCGCGUGCAGGAAGACGGCUCUAUGAGUUGUAAACUGCUUUUAUACUAGGGUAAAAAUGGGUACGUGUACUCAUCUGAAAGUAUAGUAUGAAUAAGGAUCGGCUAACUCCGUGCCAGCAGCCGCGGUAAUACGGAGGAUCCAAGCGUUAUCCGGAUUUAUUGGGUUUAAAGGGUGCGUAGGCGGUUCGAUAAGUUAGAGGUGAAACCCCGUGGCUCAACCACGGGCCUGCCUCUGAUACUGUCGGGCUAGCGAGUAGAUGCUGUAGGCGGAAUGUGUGGUGUAGCGGUGGAAUGCAUAGAGAUCACACAGAACACCGAUUGCGAAGGCAGCUUACAAAUCUACAUCGGACGCUGAGGCACGAAAGCGUGGGGAGCAAACAGGAUUAGAUACCCUGGUAGUCCACGCCNUAAACGAUGAUAACUCGUUGUUGGCGAUAUACCGUCAGUGACUAAGCCNAAAGCGUUAAGUUAUCCACCCUGGGGAGUACGUUCCCAAGAAUGAAACUCCAAAGGAAUUGACGGGGGCCCNCCCCAANCGGANGAACAUGUGGUUUAANUUCCGAUGAUACCCCAGGAACCUUACCCGGCUUGAAAGUUAGUGACCGAUUCUGAAAGGAGUCCUCCCNUCGGGGCNCCAAACUAGGNGCUGCNNGGCUGUCCCCCNCCNCCNGCCUGAGG
rnacentral:rRNA from 1 species